UUAUUUAGUUAUAGAGAACUUUCCUUGAAUAAAAUGUUACCAGGCGUUUAAAUAUGUGUAACCCACAAAAGUGUUUUAUCUGUUUAAAAGUGUUGAAGGCACAAAGGAUAGAGAUGGGCCAUCUUUACCUGGACUCCAAUUGCUUAGCCUCAUUUGGGGUAUGAUUCUCCUUCUCUCAGAGACAACGCUGGAGGCACUUUAGCCAACGCCUAAGACACUGUGGAACGUUGAAUUCCACAGAUUUGCCCCAAUACUCUGAUAAACAGAAAGAUGAUCCCAAAGACUCACUGGAGUAGAACGAUGGAAUUCUUAAGCCCUCUUGUAUGAAGAAUUUCAGUCUGAUUCUAUUAAAAAACAAGAUAUAGGAAGUGGCAAGAGCCAAACUUUCACCUACAUUAAAGGACAAGUGAAUUGUAAGAAGGCAGCAUGAUGUACCCAAAGGACACUUGAAAUGCUCAUCGUUGGGAAAAAAAGCCAAACAUUCAUGCCUUUGAAAUCUGCAUAAAACCUGCAUGCCAGAAUUCAAAAAACUCACUCUUUCAAGUAGCUGUUUAAUAUCUUUCAAAAUGCUGAAUCUUCCAAAUUUUAAAAGAUGCUGCUCACAAAUUCUAAGGACCAUUUUGAGCAUCUAACACCAUUGUGAAAUAACACUGAGCAAAUCUUUAAGUUGGGAUCUGUCAAUGUAUCCUACAAGAUAAGUCCCAAUGCAGCCAGGGCAGUGUGUGCUAGAAAGGCUGUAAAGGUUGGUGGACUCCAGAUGUGCCUUUUUCAUUUUAUUGCCGUAUAAACUCAGAUGACUCCCUCACGGGUCCUAUGGCUCAGUCUUUUCAUUUACAAAACGAAAAUAAUAACUUUUCUAAGCUGUCAAAUAGGUUGUUUUACUCAUGAAAAGAAUUCAUGGUAAAGCCUUUUUUCUAAUCAUACAGAACUCUCAAUUACUUUAAUUGUUAGGAACAAGACUUCUGUGGAUUAUUUUCAGCAAUGUCUUUUGGGUUCUCUGUUUUCCAACUUGUGAAAUGUUGUGAAGUACUUUUGACAAAAGCUAAUAUGAGAAUUUACUAUGAAAGAGGUGUAAACAUAUCCUUAAUUUCAUUUUAUUUCCUUUGUAUUUGAACAAUGUCACAUUUUGAUUAAACUGGCACAUUUUAGCUUCUUA